GCCGCCAGGAACCCCCGCGCCACCGCCGCCGCGCCUGCCUCCAGCAGCUCUCGGCCACGCGACCGUGCGGUCAGCGGCGCUUGGAGGGCGGCCGGAGCUGGGCCUGAGCCUGGGGACUCGCCUGAUCCCGGGCGGCCAUCACCAUCACCACAACCGCCCCACCCCCGCCGUCGCCUCGUGGGGCCCCGGCCCCCUCCCGGGUCCGAUGUGUUCCAGGGUGGGCCAGAAGAAGAGAAAAGAGAAAAGACAGCUUGAUGGUGACUAACCCAACCUCGGCUGUAGGCCCCACGUAUGAACUGAUGCUCUCUCCAGCAGCUCUUCUUUCUCUGUGUGUGUCUGGAAGUCCAUGUAGAAUUCACUCAGUUUAUGUGGCCGUUACUGCUUCCUUUACUGGCACAAAAGCAUCUGCUUGAGCCUUCUCUCCUCAGACAUGGUGAGAUGUACUCUGAUCUAGAGCAGGCAGCUGGCCAGAGACCCACAGGGAGCUCAGUGAUUGGCCUCAGAUGACCUUGAGGACAAAGGGGAGGUCAGUGACUACUGUUGUCUGAGAAUGUGAUGCUGGAGGUGGAACCAAGCCAAGAUUGUCCCUUGAAGGGAAGUGAUGGCACAGGCUCUGAUCAGCUCUUCUGGGAACAGACAGAGAAGUGGGAAUUCCUGCCAAAGCCACAGGAUGAAUACAGCGCCAAGAACCUGAACCAGAAAAAUGCAGCAGGAAAGGAAACUGCAGUAGCCACCAUCCUGAGGCUGCUGUACAAGGAGCAUUCCUGAGACAGGGGACGUGCUCCCCAGCCCUCCUUGAGGCCUCUGCCACUGCCCUGCUUGUCUAGAAUCUCCUCCAUUCUGCUUGUGCCACAUCUUUCAGGCCUGCUCUGGGUCUGAUGUGCUGUAGAACACUUUGCUCAGGCGCUUGGGAGAUAGAGACUUCAUUACCAUCGUUUCCACCCCAAAGAACUAGGCAGCACACUGGGAAGUUGCCAAAGGAAGGGACUCCAGCCUCCCAGGAGUUAACACCAUUUCUCCCCAGCUGUCCUCCCCUUGGUGCUCCUUUUCCUCCCUCCUCCUGCUCACAGCAGGCAGGGCCUGGAACCAGGAGCCAUGCUGCUGUGCUGUUGCCAGGGGAGCUGGGAGGCAGAUCGGAGCUAUGCAGGGGAAAGGCUCGGCCUGUCAGAGUGUCUGAGAUGAACCACCGCCAUCCCCGUGCAGCUGGGCUCCAUGUGUCUCAGGGCUCUUGUUCUGUGCCUGAGAACGGUGAAGCCCAGUGAGGUUCAAGGGCACACUCGCUAUUCAUCAGUCGGGGGUUCUUGAUGGUCCUGCCUCUCCCAAGGAUGGGUUCCCCCCUUCCUCUUUCUCUCCUUCCUAGGACACAUUCCUGGGUGCCUGUGGUGAGGACUGCACACCCCCUCCUCCCCAGCCCCCCCAAACCCUGAAUCAACUCCUAUUAAGGAGGCCAGGCGGGACAGGGACAAUGGCUUCAAGAAAUCAUUCAGGCGGGACCCCAGCCACAUUCGCAUGCCCGUCACUCCCAGAGCCCCUAUAGAUCCCACUCUGCUGUGAUUCAGGGACCCUUGGACCCCCAGCUUGCACAUGCCUAGACAGGAGCAGGUCACUAGGUGCUGCCCUGCACAACAGGCCAGUGCAGUGUUAUUCUCAGGGGCCCUGGUGCCUCCAUCCCACUGGCUGGAUACUUUGUGCAGUUGGUUGGAAAGCAGAAAUUACAAUAUUUUCUGAAAUGUGGUAAUAUCAAAAUAUAAGAGGCACAUAUACAUGAUAACUAAUUUCACUUUAGAUAUACUGGGAAAGUUUGCUAAGAAACAUGGACAAAGACCUGUGGUUGAGUAAUGAGUCAUUUCAUUCUAUGGAAUACUACACACCUGUAAGACUGUGGUCAAUCUACCUCUGCGUGUGGGCUGAUAGGGAAGGUUGCUAAUAUACUUAAGUGAAUAGAAUAAAGUACAAAACAGUCAA